ensembl:lncRNA
CCCCCGCCCCCCAAACACCACUUACAAAUCUGGGCGGAGGGAAGCAAGUAGAAGAGGACCGCGGAGGGAGCUGGCUGUCCAGAUACUGCGAGGCAUGGACACACCUCUCUCGCUCCAGACAGAGUGGACUAACGGUGAUGAAGUCUCUCAAGAAAUGAAGGACAGAAGCAGUCAGUGGCCACUUUAUACCAUACACGCACCUUCUCUGAGAGCUUCCUCUGUGACUGAAACCUGUGAACAUCAAGGUUCAGCUCUUGCUUGUUUUCUUCUCUUCUUGUCUGCCUGGACUUUGGAUUUGCUUGUGUGUGCUCAGUCAUGUCCCACUCUUUGCAACUGUAUGGACUGUAGCCUGCCAGUCUCCUCUGCCCAUGGGAUUUCCCAGGCAAAAAUACUGGAGUGGGUUGCCAUUUCUUCCUCAAGGGGAUCUUCCCAACCCAGGGGUUGAACCUGCAUCUACCAGAUUUGCUUAGCCAGUCCCUAUAGCUGUGCAAGCCAAUUCCUUGUAAUAAAUCCAUAUUUACAUCCUUAAUCUAUCUAUCAAUCGUCUAUGAUUCAGCUGGUUCUACUUCUCUGGUUGAACCCCAACUGAUACAAUGGGAUUGCAAGUCUUGGAAGUUCAGAGAAGGGCUCAAACGAUAACAGUGAGUCGUCUACUCAAUUUCCCAUCCCCUCCAUUUCUC